CAAAUAUCUUGUGAGGCUUAUGUUUAUUUUUUAAUGGGUGAAGCAGAGCAACAGCACAAAAAAUAUCUGGAGCAUUACAGGAACGCACUAGAUCUCUACAAGCUGGUGGGAUUCGCUGAGGAAUGAAGAAAAUGAAAAGAGCAUUUCAAAUUUAUCCUUAUUGUACAUAGCUGGUGGGAUUCCUUUAUUAAGAAUAUUUCCCCACACCUAGCCAUGCAUAUAUUUGAUAUUUUGUAAAAAUGCAGGGGGGGCAUUGAGACUGCUGGAUGAUAUUACCUGGCAUUUUGUGUUACCAUAUAUUGGGGCAUUAAUGCAGGGACAAGAGGGUGAGGCUGCAGCUGAGGAAGCAAAGAAGAGCAAUCACGUCCAGAGGAGAGCAGUUCAAAGCGGAUCCUUUUAACUUGUUACUGAUAUCAUCUUGAGAUCAAUGGCUCUUAUGCUAAGUGAACUUUUACGAGUCAAUAUUUCACCAUCCCAGUUGCAUGAACCGAGGGUGCGGAGACUGGAUGCAGCUAGCUUAGAUUAAGAUGAAAGGAAGUGUUGUGAUCAGGUGUUAGGCAGUGGCAAUUGCAACUAUAAUGAAACCAUGGUAUUUAAAUUUUUUUUUCAGUCUGUCCAUAAGAUACAUAAGGGCACGCAUAGAUAUAGUAUUCCACUUCAUAUUUCCUUUGUGAUGUUUAGCACUGACAGCAAGGUCUACUCUUUAAUGUUUAGCACUGCUGGCUAGAUCGAGCUUUGUCAAUCUGGUUUAUGCAGAUUUCAGCAAUUAAUAAGUGAGAUCGACACUUUGUGUGAAAUAUAUAUUUACCAUUUUGGACUA